AGAGUUUGAUCCUGGCUCAGGAUGAACGCUAGCGGCAGGCUUAACACAUGCAAGUCGAGGGGCAGCGGGGAGGAAGCUUGCUUUCUCCGCCGGCGACCGGCGCACGGGUGAGUAACACGUAUGCAACCUGCCCCUGUCAGGGGGACAACCCGCCGAAAGGCGGGCUAAACCCGCGUACAUGCCACCGGGGCAUCCCGGAGGCAGGAAAGGCUUCGGCCGGACAGGGAUGGGCAUGCGUGACAUUAGCUUGUUGGCGGGGUAACGGCCCACCAAGGCGACGAUGUCUAGGGGUUCUGAGAGGAAGGUCCCCCACACUGGUACUGAGACACGGACCAGACUCCUACGGGAGGCAGCAGUGAGGAAUAUUGGUCAAUGGGCGAGAGCCUGAACCAGCCAAGUCGCGUGAAGGAUGACGGCCCUACGGGUUGUAAACUUCUUUUGUCAGGGAGCAAUUGGGUCCACGCGUGGGCUUAGCGAGAGUACCUGAAGAAAAAGCAUCGGCUAACUCCGUGCCAGCAGCCGCGGUAAUACGGAGGAUGCGAGCGUUAUCCGGAUUUAUUGGGUUUAAAGGGUGCGUAGGCGGAAUAUCAAGUCAGCGGUAAAAAUUCGGGGCUCAACCCCGUCGUGCCGUUGAAACUGAUGUUCUUGAGUGGGCGAGAAGUAUGCGGAAUGCGUGGUGUAGCGGUGAAAUGCAUAGAUAUCACGCAGAACUCCGAUUGCGAAGGCAGCAUACCGGCGCCCAACUGACGCUGAAGCACGAAAGCGUGGGUAUCGAACAGGAUUAGAUACCCUGGUAGUCCACGCAGUAAACGAUGAAUGCUAAUUGUCCGGAGGGAUUGACCUCUGGGUGAUACAGCGAAAGCGUUAAGCAUUCCACCUGGGGAGUACGCCGGCAACGGUGAAACUCAAAGGAAUUGACGGGGGCCCGCACAAGCGGAGGAACAUGUGGUUUAAUUCGAUGAUACGCGAGGAACCUUACCCGGGCUCAAACGCAGGAGGAAUACAUUUGAAAGGGUGUAGCUCUACGGAGUCUUCUGCGAGGUGCUGCAUGGUUGUCGUCAGCUCGUGCCGUGAGGUGUCGGCUUAAGUGCCAUAACGAGCGCAACCCCUAUCGACAGUUGCCAACAGGUGAAGCUGGGAACUCUGUCGAGACUGCCGGCGCAAGCUGAGAGGAAGGCGGGGAUGACGUCAAAUCAGCACGGCCCUUACGUCCGGGGCGACACACGUGUUACAAUGGCGGCCACAGCGGGAAGCCAGGCGGCGACGCCGAGCGGAACCCGAAAAGCCGUCUCAGUUCGGAUUGGAGUCUGCAACCCGACUCCAUGAAGCUGGAUUCGCUAGUAAUCGCGCAUCAGCCACGGCGCGGUGAAUACGUUCCCGGGCCUUGCACUCACCGCCCGUCA
rnacentral:rRNA from 1 species